AACGAACGUUAGCGGCGCGCCUAACACAUGCAAGUCGAACGCGACAGGGGCAACUCUGUUGAGUGGCGCACGGGUGAGUAACACGUAGGUAAUCUCCCCCCGAGUGGUGGAUAACCUUCCGAAAGGAGGGCUAAUACAGCAUAAGACCACGGCUUCGAAAGGAGCUGAGGUCAAAGCGGAGGAUCGCAAGACUUCGCGCUUGGGGAUGAGCCUGGGGCCGAUCCGGUAGUUGGCGGGGUAACAGACCACCAAGCCGAAGACGGGUAGCUGGUCUGAGAGGAUGGUCAGCCGAACUGGAACUGAGACACGGUCCAGACUCCUACGGGAGGCAGCAGUGGGGAAUCUUGCGCAAUGGACGAAAGUCUGACGCAGCGACGCCGCGUGGGUGAUGAAGGCCUUCGGGUUGUAAAGCCCUGUGGGGAGGGACGAAUAAGUUUCAGCUAAUACCUGAAGCGAUGACGGUACCUCCUUAGCAAGCACCGGCUAACUCUGUGCCAGCCGCCGCCGUAA
rnacentral:rRNA from 1 species